rnacentral:rRNA from 1 species
UACAGAGGGUGCAAGCGUUAAUCGGAUUUACUGGGCGUAAAGCGCGCGUAGGCGGCUAAUUAAGUCAAAUGUGAAAUCCCCGAGCUUAACUUGGGAAUUGCAUUCGAUACUGGUUAGCUAGAGUGUGGGAGAGGAUGGUAGAAUUCCAGGUGUAGCGGUGAAAUGCGUAGAGAUCUGGAGGAAUACCGAUGGCGAAGGCAGCCAUCUGGCCUAACACUGACGCUGAGGUGCGAAAGCAUGGGGAGCAAACAGGAUUAGAAACCCGUGGUACG